GACCCUAUCGUCUAGUGGCCCAGGACACCACCCUCUCACGGUGGAUACACGGGUUCGAAUCCCGUUAGGGUCGCCA
rnacentral:tRNA from 1 species